CCCCUCUCAGGAUGGUACCUGGAGAGUUUCCAGUCCUUUACCAGUCUCUUCUACGAGAGGGAGAGUCAAGCAGAGGACUACCGAUUCCAUUCCUACCUUGGGCAGUGGCUAGCGAGUGGAAGGCCAUCUGCUACAAGU